CCCCCUCGACAAUGGGCAAAGAUACUCCUUGUUUGUGGCAUUGUUCUUAUAUCAGUCAAGGACAGAGCAAAUAACAGUCCUUUGUGCAUUCUAGCUUGAUUUUUGGCAUGGUAGCUAAAGCUGUCUUAUGCCUAGGACUCAAAA